rnacentral:tRNA from 1 species
AGGGGAAUAACUUAACUGGGAGAGUGCUGGUUCAAAAUCGUUGGUUGCGAGUUCGAGUCCCGCCUCCCCUGCCA